rnacentral:rRNA from 1 species
UACGUAGGGUCCGAGCGUUGUCCGGAAUUAUUGGGCGUAAAGGGCUCGUAGGCGGUUCGUCGCGUCGGGAGUGAAAACUCGGAGCUCAACUCCGAGCCUGCUUCCGAUACGGGCGGACUAGAGGUAGGCAGGGGAGAGCGGAACUCCUGGUGUAGCGGUGGAAUGCGCAGAUAUCAGGAAGAACACCCGUGGCUAAGGCGGUUCUCUAGUACGGUACUGACGCUGAGACGCGAAAGCGUGGGGAGCGAACAGG